ACAAUUAUGGAAAAUACACUGUUUCUAUAACAAGUUUGAUCAAUGAGUGUAACAUAGUUUAGGAGAACCACAGACCAAGCUGGAGUACGAUAGGGGCAGAGAGAAUUUUCGGUGGAGCGGUGAAAUGCAUAGAAAUCGGAAAGAACACCAACGGCGAAAGUACUCUACUGGGCCAACACUGACACUGAGAGACGAAAGCUAGGGGAGCGAAUGGGAUUAGAUACCCCAGUAGUCCUAGCCGUAAAUGAUGGAUACUAGGCGUUGUGCGUAUCGACCCGUGUAAUGCUGUAGCUAACAUGUUAAGUAUCCCGCUUGGGGAGUACGUUCGCAAGAAUGAAACUUGAAGGAAUUGACGGGGGCCCGCACAAGCGGUAGAGCAUGUGGUUUAAUUCUAUGCAAAGCAAAGAACCUUACCAGGGCUUGACAUGCCUCGAAUCAUCUUGAAAGAGAGGGGUGCUUUCAGGAACGCGGACACAGGUGGUGCAUGGCUGUCGUCAAUUCGUGCCGUAAGGUAUUGGGUUAAGUCCCGCAACGAGCGCAACCCUUGUGUUUAGUUGCCCUCGUUGAGUUUGGAACCCUGAACAGACUGCCGGUGAUAAGUCGGAGGAAGGUGAGGAUGACGUCAAGUCAUCAUACCCUUUAUGCCCUGGACGACACAUGUGCUACAAUAGCCGGGACAAAGGAUCGCGAUCCCGUGAGGGUGAGCUAACCCCAAAAACCCAUUAGUAAUCUUUUUUAGAAAUCGAAUGGAUUCGGUCUUAUACAUACGCGAGGAAGCUAAUCAAAAAAGAAAGAAGAUGACUUCUUCUUUCUUUUAUCACUU
rnacentral:rRNA from 1 species